UACGUAGGGUGCAAGCGUUAAUCGGAAUUACUGGGCGUAAAGCGUGCGCAGGCGGUUGUGCAAGACAGAUGUGAAAUGCCCGGGCUUAACCUGGGAACUGCAUUUGUGACUGCAUGGCUAGAGUUUGGCAGAGGGGGGGUAGAAUUCCACGUGUAGCAGUGAAAUGCGUAGAUAUGUGGAGGAACACCGAUGGCGAAGGCAGCCCCCUGGGUCAAGACUGACGCUCAUGCACGAAAGCGUGGGGAGCAAACAGG
rnacentral:rRNA from 1 species